rnacentral:rRNA from 1 species
AUUGAACGCUGGCGGCAGGCCUAACACAUGCAAGUCGAACGAGUGGCGGAUGGGUGAGGAAUGUCUGGGAAACUGCCUGAUGGAGGGGGAUAACUACUGGAAACGGUAGCUAAUACCGCAUACCAUCAGAUGUGCCCAGAUGGGUUUAGCUAGUUGGUGGGGUAACGGCUCACCAAGGCGACGCUCCCUAGCUGGUCUGAGAGGAUGACCGGCCAACCGGGAACGGGGACACGGUCCAGACUCCUACGGGAGGCAGCAGUGGGGAAUAUUGCAAAAUGGGCGAAAGCCUGAUGCAGCCAGGCCGCGUGUAUGAAGAAGGCCUUCGGGUUGUAAAGUACUUUCAGCGGGGAGGCGUUACCCGCAGAAGAAGCACCGGCUAACUCCGUGCCAGCAGCCGCGGUAAUUC